CUUGUUUUUCUUUAUCAGAAAAAUUUUUGUUCAAAAGUCAUCUUCUUUCCCAAAUACAUUAACUGUAUUUCCAUUUGUUUAAUUGUUGUGGCAUGAUAUAGCGGGGAAGGAAUUGAGAAGCAGCAUUGCCUAUAGUUCAGCAAUGGAGAUCUUGCCUUAAUAUUGGAAAAAGCAAUUCAGAAGGUAUUCUCGUAUGUACCUUUGAAAUAAUGGCAACGAGUAGGAUAUUUUUAACAAGUGCACUUAGUUGACGGAAAUAUACCAUAAAAAUGUAGUUAAUUUACUUAUUAUGCAUACUUUCCUUUCACUGAAUGAGAACAUUUUAAAACACAAUGCAUAGAUAGCGUUAAUUCCAUGUUUUAGUUAUCAGUUUAACUUGCUUCAUGAUUAAUUGUAGGCAUCAAUUACUCUUUUGCUUUGGCUUUGAAUUUGUAUAGAACCUGAGAUUGUAUACUAUUUCAUCGGAUUGAGAUUUGGCUAGACAAUCUUUGGAUGGAAUCAUUUUCCCAAACCUAGCUUGCUGAUAUACAUAUAUGAUAAAGUGAGUUAACUCCUUAUAAAUUUAAUAUAUAUCAACAUUUCCAUUUUCGUUUUUGAACUUGUACUUAUCACUGCUCAAUAUAAACAAUAUGACCUUUGACUGCUACAGGUUCUUUUUCAGUCUGUGUCACUAUCUAAUAUGUUACACAUUUCACAGUAGCAAUAGGUUUGUUUCUGUAGCACCACACCUGGAUUCAGACGCAUAGACCAGGAGGGCUGAGGUUUCAAUGAUCUCAUGUAAUACCUUUUGAUUUUUCUAGUAAUCACCAUGUUCAAAUUGUUUUUCCACAACAACAUACUUUUAUGCAUGAGUGAGGAUCUCAAUGGUUGCGAAAUAUGUUUGCUUGACCGACUCAUAUUUGUCUUUUAUGGAGUGACGCUAGCUUAAUUCCACGCGAAACACGAUGCUUAUGCGUAUGAUGCCGCUCCUUGAUGGUAAGCCUUGCUUUGCUUUUUCAAUUGUCUUUUCUUGCAGUUUGGUGGAGCUAUAAAUUACUCUUUGCCUGGAUUGAGCUUCGACAAUUAAACCAUAGUGAUGAAGCUUUUGACAGAAGAUGGCACCAGAGUGAUGAAGCUUAGAGUUGGAUAUAUAUCCAACUCUGGAUUUUAUAGAGCAGAAAUGUGAGAAGCCAAUGCAUCUGUUACCUAAGGAAGCCAUGCCGCCUCUGUAAUUUGCCGACAUUAAAUAUUUUAGGUUAUCCUCAAUUAAACCAUAGCUUUGGGGAAGGAACUGAGAGGCAGCAUUGCCUAUAGUUCAGCAAGGGAGAUCUUGCCUUAAUAUUGGAAAAAGCACUUCAGAAGGCAUCAGUUACUUUUUUGCUUUGGCUUUGAAUUUGUGAAGAACCUGAGAUUGUAUAGUAUUCAUCGGAUUGAGAUUUAGCCAGACAAUCCUUUGGAUGGAAUCAGUUUCCUAAACCUAGCUUGCUGAUAAGACAUAUUUGAUAAAGUGAGUUAACUCCUUAUAAAUUUAAUAUUAUAUCAAUAUUUUUGUUUUCAUUGUGAACUAUCAUUCUUAUCACUGCUCAAUAUAAACAAUUUGACCUUUGACAGCUCGAGGUUCUGUUUCAGUCUGCGUCACUAUCUAAUAUGUGAGACAUUUCACUGUAGUAAUAGGUUUGUUUCUGCAGCACAACGCCAGGACUCAGAAGCGUAGACCAGGAGGGCUGAGGUUUCAAUGAUCUCAUGUACUGCCUUUCGUUUUUCUGGAGUGUUGCUAGCUUAAUUCCACGCUAAACACGAUGCUUAUGCAUAUGAUGCCGUUCCAUGAUGGUAAGCCUUGCUUUGCUUUUUCCAUUAUUUUUUCUUUCAGUUUGGUGGAGCUAUAAAUUACUCUUUGCCUGGAUUGGGCUUUUGAACAACCUGAUAUUAUAUGAUAAAAAAUGUGAAGGAACAAUUCAUGUGGUUUUCUUUCAUGCUUGCUUAGACAAUGGUUUGAAUUUAUGUGUUUUUUGAACAAUUUAUUCCAGUGACUCACCAUUUUGAUAUGCUUUCUAGAGGAGCUGAAUUAUGAAACUGAUUUAUUUGUGUUUUUGGAACUAUUUCAGCAUUAUGAAUUGGCAUGGAGUGACAUCUUUUCAAAACAAUGUGAUUCACCUGGGAAACGCAAGUCCUGGUGUGUUCUUAGAGGAGCCAGAUUCCACCAUCAAAUCAGGGGAUAUCCCAUACCUUGAUCUGAAAAAACACAAAGUCCAGCAUCAGUUCGUUCCAGCAUCAGUUGUUUUUCUCUAUCAGAAAACUUUUUGUUCAAUGGUCAUCCUUUUUUCCCAAAUAUGUUAAUUGUAUUUGUCUUUGUUUAAUUGUUGUGGCAUAAUAUUGGGGAACUGAGAAGCACCACUGUCUAUAGUUCAACUAUUGAGAUCUUUUCUUAAUAUAGGCAAAAGCACUUCAGAGGUUAUUCUCUUAUGUACCUUAGAAAUUAUAGCAACAUCUAGGGUAUUUUUGACAAGUUUCCUUAGUUGAGGGAAAUAUAUAUAGCCUAAGAAAUGUAGAUUAAUUUAUUAUGCGAUUUUCCUUUAAGUGAAUGAGAACAUUUUAAAAUUUUUGCUUAUAGCACAUUGAUUUUGGCUAUAAACAAAUAAUCUAAUUAAUGGCAUAGAAGCUGGUGUCCUUUGACAAUUAAAAUCAGAAUGCAUAAGACCUUUGUCCUUUCUUUUCUGUGUGAUUGUUGCCUUAAGUUAGGUAAGCUUGAUUGUGGCAUUAUGCUGAUGAUCCUUCCAAACUCAUUCAGACGGUGAAGGAUAUGAAGGAAACACAACAGAUUACAAGACUGUCAUUUAUUUUCUAUACUAAGGAGGCCACCCUUGUUUUACUUUGUCAGUAAGUAGAAAAGUUCGGGAGAAGAGAUUGUAAGCAUUUCAUGAUUUAGCAGCUACAGGGUUUAAAACCAUUCAAAUGGAGGCACUGUUUUCUAGCAGGGAAAUGCAGCAAUGUGAGUGGUUGAAGGCAUCAUUUACCUUUUUGCUUUGGCUUUGAAUUUGUAAAAGAACCUGAGAUUGUAUGGUAUUCAUUGAAUGGAGAUUUAGCUAGACAAUCCUUUGGAUGGAAUCAUUUUCUCAAACCUAGCUUGCUGAUAUGCAUAUAUGAUAAAGUGAGUUAACUCCUUAUAAAUAAAAUAUAUAUCAACAUUUUGUUUCUUUUUGGACUAUUGUACUUGUCACUACUCGAUAUAAACAAUAUGACAGUUGACAGCUCAAGGUUGUGUUUCAGUUGUUUCACUAUCUAAUAUGUGAGGUAUUUAACAGUAGCAAUAGGUUUGUUUCUGCAACACCACACCAGGAUUCAGAAUCUUAGACCAGGAGGGCUGAGGAUUUCAAUGAUCUUAUGUAUUACCUUUUAUUAUUCUGGUAAUCUCCAUGUUCGAAAUUGUUUUUCCACAACAAUAUUCUAUUAUACAUGAGUGAGGAUCUCAAUGGUUGAGAAAUAUGUUUGCUUGAUUGACUCAUAUUUGUCUGUUGUGAAGAAGUGAUACCACCUCAAUUACAUGCUAAACAAGAUGCUUGUGCAUGACAUUUGUUGGACCAAAGGCUUAACCUGUGUCUUGAACAGAUCCUUCACUUUACGUGUAGAAAGUGGAAACUGUUCUAUGACUCAACAGAGAUAUGUAUGAUUCAUGGAUUGAUUUCUGCAUGUUGGAACCCAGCUUCUGACUAUAAAAUGAUUGCACUAAAAUGGUAUUGAACCUCGAGUUUUGUGGUUUCUUUAUUGUAAGUUUCUCUUGAAACUUCUUUUGUUUUGAUCAUCUUUCAACCUUACCUCAUGCAGACACUGGGAACUCAUGCUACUCCUUGAUGGUAAGCCUUGCUUUGGUCUUUCCAUUGUCUUUUCCUUCAGUUUGGUGGAGCUAUAAUUGUUCUUUGCCUGGAUUAAACUUUUAAAGUAGCUGUGAUUGUGUGAUAAACAAUGUGAAACAACACUCAAUGUAGUUUCAAUCCAUGCUUGCUUUGACAAUUGUUUCGAUUUAUGUGUUUUCUGAACUAUUUGUUCCAGUGACUAACCAUUUUGAUAUGCUUCCUGUAUAUUUAAGCAUUAUGAAUCAAGACAUCUAUGCUGAAACAAAGUGAUUCACCUGGGAAUCUCAAGCAUUGGUGUGUUUUUAGAGGAGCUGAAUUCUAUCAUCAAAUCAGGGGAUGUCGCAUAUCUCGAUUUGAAAAACACAAAGUCAAGCAUCAGUUCGUUGCAGAGAAACUAAAUGCUAUCCCCAAAUCAGGGAAUGUCCGGUAUCCCCAUCCAGCUGCUCCAAACCUCAAAGUUCUCGACUCCUUCAAGUCUGUGCCUCUAACAGACUGUAGCGGUUGAAAUCUUCAUCUUCAAGGGCCCUGUCUUAGAAGUUGCAAUCAAGUCUACCAAAUCUAGCCCACCCACAGUUGGAGCAGCCAAGCAUCUCACCGACAAUAUUGAUUUGGUGUCCAUGGAAAGGAAAUUUGCAACCAGGAAAAGUGAACAACAGCCGGAACAGCUUCUUUGCUGCUGCUGAUAAGAACGUACAAAUCUCCACAGCUUGAGAGCUCCAACUUUUUGGUGCCUCCUGAAUAGAUCCAAAUCAAAUUGAUUUUCUCUUUCUAUUCAGAGUUUGUGUGUACGAUCCCGCUUAGUAAUCUAAAUGUCAUAAUUAUUUUUAAUUUUUGCUUUUUUUUUUCCGAUGGACUUUUUGAAGUUAAAGAAAUCAUUCUUUGA